UUUGUCAACCUGUUAUAUCGUAAGAGUCAGUUGUGUAGCACAACUGUCUGCUCAAAUUCGAGCAAUAUUAAACCAGAGAGCCAAAUAUAAAUUCCAUUUAACAUAAAAAUGGCAAAUCGACCAACGCUGAGGGACACCAGCAGUCAACCACACUUUCUACAGUUCAACAAUCUCGUGUGUGAAACAGCUGGAGGAAAGGUCAUUUUUGCCACAGACGAGUGGUUUGCCCCUGCUAGAAAUCUUUUGAAGAGGGACCCUCCAGAAUUCAUAGCUUCAGCAUUUACUGAGUUUGGGAAAUGGAUGGAUGGUUGGGAGACCAGGAGGAAAAGAAUUCCAGGUCAUGACUGGUGCAUUGUGCAGUUAGGAGUUCCAGGAAUAAUUCACGGCUUUGAUGUGGACACGUCCUUCUUCACAGGAAACUAUGCCCCUUAUGCCUCCAUUCAAGCUGCAUGUCUUGAUCAGAUACCAUCGUUUACUCUGGAUGGAGAUCGUACAGGCAUGGCUGCUUCCCAAAGCGAGUGUGAAGCAGUGGCACAGCUUAACUCAGACAGCUGGGAGGAGCUUGUCCCAAUGACAGAGCUGAAGCCAGGGUUCUCUGAUUCAUGCCACAACUACUUCAGUGUCACCUACCCGCACAGAGUUACACACAUCCGUCUCAACAUGUAUCCAGAUGGUGGAAUUUCAAGGCUGAAAGUUUAUGGCAUUGGGAAGAAGGAUUGGUCAACUGUACCUGGUCAAGACCUAGUGGAUCUGGUUGCCCUGGUCAACGGAGGAGUAUGUGUAGGCUUCAGUGAUGCCCACUUCGGUCACCCACGCAAUAUGAUUGGUCUUGGGAGGGCUGAGAACAUGGGUGAUGGGUGGGAGACAGCCAGACGCUUGGACAGGCCCAAAAUUUUAAAAGUGAAUGAGAAAGGCAUUUUGCAGGUGCCAGGCUCUGAAUGGGCUAUUCUAAGAUUAGGACACCCUGGAGUGAUCAGCAAAAUUGAGCUAGACACCAACCAUUUUAAAGGAAAUUUCCCAGACUCCUGCAGGAUUGAGGCCUGCAGUCUGACUUUAGAUGAGGAGAAGAACUUUAUUCGUAACAAGUGGAGCCCUGACAAAAGCCCCAAGUGGAGAAUUCUUCUUCCUCCUCAAAAACUAAAGCCUCACCACUGGCACUUGUUUUCUGAGGAGUCUGUGGUAAAGUGUGGGCCUGUGACUCAUGUGCGCCUGGUCAUAGCUCCUGAUGGAGGGGUCAGCAGACUCAGACUCUGGGGUCGACAAGUGUUGAACAACUUGACUCAUCCUCAACAAAUCUCCAAACUUUGAUGUCAUCAUUUUCAACACAGCUAUAGUAUAGAGGUCAUGGUAUGACAUCAGGUGUGAUUUAAAAGAAGCCAAAUUAUAAAAAAUUUUAUGAUUUCAUUUUUUCCCUUAUGUCCACUUAUAAUGUAAGUAAAGCUUUAUGUCAAUGCAAAUAACUUUUAGAAUUAGAAUGGAAUGGGUCACUAAAGUAUGUUUAAGAAACAACCACUUUGCAUGAGAAAUGAGCAUCGAUGUUCAGAAUGGAAUCCUAGUUUACUGUGUACUAUGCAUUAUACACUGUAGUCAUCUGUCUAAUGUCAGAACAUUUUGAAAGUUCAGAAUGAGUCAUGUUUGCAGCUCAGAGUUCAGAGGUUUUUUAGUUUUUAAAUAUACAGUAUUUUUCCAUAGUACGUCAAGCUAUUCUAUCAAAUGAUCAAGGAAAAUUGAAUUCUUCAUGAUAUGAAACCUUUAAAUAACAAAACUAAGGCGUAUACUGAACAACAUAUACUGACUACCAAAUACUAGGCCUACAUACUUGUAUAUGCUUACCUACUAAUCUGUGGUGCACUAUAUAAUUGAAUUAUUGUCAAGGAUAGUGUUUUAUAAAACAUCAAUUGAACAUGUUUGCCCAGUUGUGUUCUGUUUGGAAAUUAUCCAAAUGUAAAUAUUUUCACAACAACAAAACAGCCAUAAGAGGAAAUGUAAGACAUUCUUAAAUGAACCCACAUGUUUUGCAUGUCUAUAGACACCAUAUAAGACACUUCACAGGCAAUGGUUGUGUGCAUUGUAGAUACCUCUGGGCAUUCUUACAUACCAAAGAUAAUGUUUUAAUAACUGAUAUUUUACCUACACACCUGAAAAAGGUCUGCUUUAUCAUGCAGUCUUGCCUGCUGUAACCCUGAGUAGAUGAAGGAGACGAGGGGCAAGGAUCUAAAUGCAGUACGUAUUUAUUUAAAGUAAAACAGACUGAACGGGAACAAACCAAACAUCCACGAUGGGAAAAAUAAACAAAAAGCACGAAGACGUCAAGGGACCACGAACGGGGAGAACGGGUGGAAAGGCGAAGAACAAACAUCCAUAAACAUCAACAACGAUUGACAAUGACUGAACAAAGAACCAGGGUUUAAAUACAGGAACCAGGAAACAGGGACUAAACUGAACUUCAACAUAAAAGCACGAAGACAAAAGACAACAAUGAACAUGACAGAACCCCCCCCCCCCUCAAAGGAUCGGAUACCAGACGAUCCAAAAAAAACAAAGGACAAAAAAGACCCACAAAGAAAAAACUAAAUGAGGGCACCAGGGGCAAACAGACAGUUCAAGGGGGCACAAGGGGCACAGGGACAGUUCACUGGGGUACAAGGGGCACUGAGACAGUCCACGGGGGCAAUUAGGCAGUCCAUGGGAGGCAGGCAGACCAGGGAGGUCGAGAGGGCAGGCAAGCAGUCUAUGGAGGUGUGUCAAGGGGACCGGGUCCGGUGGCCUGGGGGGCGUCAACCGGGCAGGGACAGGUUCAGGAGGCCUGGAAGGCGGCCACAAUGUGGGGAUAGGCCUGUGGGGCUCGGGAGCUGGCCAUGAGGCGAGCACCAGAUUAGGAGGUCUGUGAGCGGGCCAUGGGGCAGGAGCUGGUUUGGGUGGCCUGGGAGCUGACCUCUGGGCAGGGGCCGGUACAGGAGACCUGGGAGCUGGCCGCAGGACAGAGGCUGGCGGAGCCGUGUGAGGCGGGGCCAAGGAGGACUUCAGAGGCGGAGCCGUAGAAGACUUGGGAGGCGGCGCCGAAGGAGGCAUAGGCUGGGCCGUGGGGGGCUCAGGAGGCGGAGCCGAGGGAGGCUCAAGAGGUGGAGCCAAGGGAGGCUCAGGAGGCGGAGCCGAGGGAAGCGAUUGCGUAGAAGGCCCAGGAAGCGGAGCCGAGGGAGGCUCAGGAGGCGGAGCCGAGGGAAGCGAUUGCGUAGAAGGCCCAGGAAGCGGAGCCGAGGGAGGCUCAGGAGGUGGAGCCGGGGCCGGGAGAGGCUCGGGAGACUCCGGAGGCGGAGCCGAGGGUGGCUCAGGAGGUGGAACUGAAGGAGGUUCUGGAGGUGGAGCCGAGGGAGGUUCAGGAGGCGGAGCCAAAGGAGGCGAGGGCGAAGAAGGCUCUGAAGGCGGAGCCAAGGGAAGUUCAGGUGGCGCAGCUAAGGGUACCUCAGGAGGCGGAGCCGAGGAAGGCCUUGGAGACAGGGUUGAGGAAGGCGGAGCUGAGGAUGGCUCGGGAGGCCCAGGAGGCAGAGCCGUGGGAGGCUCUGGAGGCUGAGCCGAGGAAGGCUCAGGAGGCGGGGCCGAGGAAGGUGGCGCUGUAGGAGGCUUUAGAGGCGGAGACCUGGAAGGCUCUGGAGGCGGAGCCGAGGGAAGUGGCGCCGUAGGAGGUUUCAGAGGCGGAGACCUGGAAGGCUCUGGAGGCAGAGCCUAGGGAAGGGGUGCCGUAGGAGGUUUCAGAGGCGGAGCCCUAGAAGGCUCUGGAGUCUCUGGGAGCCGAGCCGUAGGAGGCUCGGGAGUCUCUGGGAGAAGAGCCGUAGGAGGCUCAGGAGGCGGAGCCGUAGGAGGCUCUGGGGGCGGAGCCCUGGGUGGCUCGGGAGGCUCGAGAGGCGGAGCCCUGGAAGGCUCGGGAGGCUCGAGAGGCGGAGCCCUGGAAGGCUCGAGAGACUUGAGAGGAGGAGCCCUGGGAGUCUCGAGAGGAGGAGCCCUGGAAGACUCGAGAGGCGGAGCCCUGGGAGGCUCGGGAGGAGGAGCCCUGGAAGACUCGAGAGACUGGAGAGGCGGAGCCCUAGGAGGCUUGAGAGACGGAGCCCUGGAAGACUCGGGAGGAGGAGCCCUGGAAGACUCGAGAGACUUGAGAGUUGGAGCCCUGGGAGGCUCGGGAGGAGGAGCCGUGGAAGACUCGAGAGACUGGAGAGGCGGAGCCCUAGGAGGCUCGGGAGGAGGAGCCCUGGAAGACUCGAGAGGUGCUGACUCUUGGACGGGCACGACCACUGGCGCUGGCUUUUGGACGGUCAGGGCUACUGGCGCUGGCUCUUGGAUGGUCAUGGCUACUGGCGCUGGCUCUUGGACGGUCAUGGCUUCUGGCGCUGGCUCUUGGACGGUCAUGGCUACUAGCGCUGGCUCAAGGACAGUCAUGGCUACAGGCACAGGCUCAGGGACGGUCGAGGCUACAGGCGCAGGCUCAGGGACGGUCGAGGCUACAGGCGCUGGCUCAGGGACGGUCGAGGCUACAGGCGCUGGCUCGCAGACCGGGGCAGGCAUAACAGGAACAGCCAUGGACGACUGGAGGGUCACCACUGUGGGAGGAGAGGCAGGAACCCUCUCAACCACACCCACAGUGAACGGCGAGCCGCAUGCCAGCAGCGUCACCUCCACAAAAUCGCGGAGCAUCCAGCCGCGCGUCGCCGGUGGCAACCGCUCCCUGAGCGAACUGGUCAGGCCAUCCCGGAAGAAAACCACCAGGGAGGAGUCAGGGAAGUCUGUGGCACACACCAGCUCCAAAAAAUCUCGGACAUGGUCCUCCACCGGAUGGUUUUCUUGCCUCAGAUUCAACAAGCGACAGCUCGCCUGAAGUACCGCUAGAUC